rnacentral:rRNA from 1 species
UACGUAGGGGGCUAGCGUUGUCCGGAAUCAUUGGGCGUAAAGCGCGUGUAGGCGGUCCGGUAAGUCCGCUGUGAAAGUCGAGGGCUCAACCCUCGAAUGCCGGUGGAUACUGUCGGGCUAGAGUGCGGAAGAGGCGAGUGGAAUUCCUGGUGUAGCGGUGAAAUGCGCAGAUAUCAGGAGGAACACCUAUUGCGAAGGCAGCUCGCUGGGACGUUACUGACGCUGAGGAGCGAAAGCGUGGGGAGCGAACAGG